UGUACUUUAUUGCACUGAGUUUUUCUUGCUAUACCUUGGACAAGACUGCCACCUCCUGGAAGAGUUGAUGAAUACUGGGGACUGAGGUGCAAUUAGGGAAUCGGUACUAUGAAAUUGCUUGCGUCUCAGCAGCAACUCCCUAUCCCUCCGCGAAGUUAAACCAAUUCCUAACCUUUCUCAACCUCUGUGAGCAGCUUUUUGCAUGGAACCAAGACUUCAAAGAACUUGCGCAUCACAAUCUUUUUACGUGAAAAUGUAAAUACAAGUCAGCAUUUGUGAAGCGUUAUGUGCCAAAUGCUUUAAUUUUUAAGGCUCACAACAGCCUUAUGAGGUAGGAACUAUCAUAAGCAGAUCCACACUGCUGAUGGAAAAAUUAAGUUUAAGGGAACGUAAGGCGACGGCUCUGAGGCGGAAUCGCCACUUGGAGUCGGGACUCAACUGCUGAGAGCGCAAGCUCCGUAACUACGUAACCGUCUCGGGCAUGCGCAGAAAAACACUGAAGCACCUUCCCUAGGAGCUGUAAGUAGGUGGGUGUGGUGGGAGUCUUUGCAAUCCCAGCAUUCCCUUCGUGCCGCCACCAAGAUGGUGGCGCCCAUCUUGCGGUCCUUUUCCUGGGGCCGGUGGUCUGGUACCCUAAAUCUCUCAGUAUUGUUGCCCUUGGGGCUGCGUAAGGCCCACUCGGGCGCUCAGGGGUUACUGGCAGCGCAGAAGGCUCGAGGUCUGUUCAAGGACUUCUUCCCGGAGACGGGGACGAAAAUAGAGCUCCCAGAGCUCUUCGACCGUGGCACGGCGAGUUUUCCCCAAACCAUUUACUGUGGCUUCGACCCCACGGCAGACUCGCUUCAUGUGGGUCAUCUACUUGCGCUGCUGGGCCUGUUUCAUUUGCAGCGAGCGGGCCACAACGUGAUCGCGCUGGUGGGAGGCGCCACGGCGCGCCUGGGAGACCCGAGCGGCCGUACCAAGGAACGCGAGGCGCUGGAGACAGAGCGCGUGCGAGCCAACGCGCGAGCUCUGCGCCUAGGGCUUGAGGCCCUGGCGGCUAAUCACCAGCAGCUUUUCACUGAUGGGCGCUCCUGGGGCAGCUUCACUGUGCUGGACAACUCGGCCUGGUACCAGAAGCAGCGCCUGGUGGACUUCCUGGCGGCAGUGGGGGGUCACUUCCGCAUGGGGACGCUGCUGAGCCGGCAGAGCGUGCAGCUGCGGCUCAAGAGCCCCGAGGGCAUGAGCUUGGCCGAGUUCUUUUACCAGGUGCUCCAGGCCUAUGACUUCUAUUACCUCUUCCAGCGUUAUGGAUGCAGGGUCCAGCUGGGCGGAUCUGAUCAACUAGGCAACAUCAUGUCCGGAUAUGAGUUCAUCAACAAGUUGACUGGAGAAGAUGUAUUUGGAAUCACCGUUCCUCUAAUUACAAGUACAACUGGAGCAAAGCUGGGAAAGUCUGCUGGCAACGCUGUUUGGCUAAACAGAGAUAAGACAUCUCCAUUUGAAUUGUAUCAGUUCUUUGUCAGGCAACCGGACGAUUCAGUGGAAAGGUACCUGAAGCUGUUCACUUUCCUGCCCCUUCCAGAGAUUGAUCAUAUCAUGCAGCUGCAUGUCAAAGAGCCAGAAAGGCGGGGUCCUCAGAAACGACUGGCAGCAGAAGUAACAAAGCUUGUUCAUGGACGAGAAGGAUUGGAUUCUGCUAAAAGGUGUACACAAGCCCUUUAUCACAGUAGCAUAGAUGCACUGGAGGUCAUGUCUGAUCAGGAGUUAAAAGAGUUGUUUAAAGAAGCUCCAUUUUCUGAAUUUUUUCUCGAUCCUGGAACAAGUGUCCUAGAUACUUGCCGCAAAGCAAAUGCCAUUCCAGAUGGUCCCCGAGGGUAUCGAAUGAUAACAGAAGGCGGAGUCAGCAUAAAUCACCAACAAGUAACAAAUCCUGAGAGUGUUUUAAUUGUUGGACAACAUAUUCUCAAGAAUGGACUUUCCUUACUUAAAAUAGGAAAAAGAAAUUUCUACAUUAUAAAAUGGCUUCAGUUAUGAUGAAAAGUCCUUCUGGUUGUCCAAAUAAACUUACCCAUCAUUCAUUCUCAAGACCUCUGAAGGGUUGGCUCCAGAACUUAGACCUUUGCUUAUGCAAAUCAGAAAAACAGAAUGGACUAGGACUCAGUGCAGCAGAGCAUGGCUUUAGUGUUCAAAUUCUAGCCAUUUACUACCUGGAUUACUUGGAGCAAGUCACUGUCUUCAUACGCAAAAAUGGAGAUGUUAUAAUACCUUGGUGAACUGUCAGAAUCUGAGAUAGGGUCUCUUUUUUUAGCGCCAUCUGCUUGCAGCGCUGCCUCUUGCUCCUCCCCACCACCGCUGCUGCCCUGAGUCACUGCCUGCACAGCUCCAGCCGCCUGGCUUCUCAUACUAGCCACUUGAUAUUUGGAGUUCUUACAACAUGGCAGACGUUGACAACCUGCCUAGCUAGGGUAGUUAAAAGAGGAGUGAAUGCUCUCAAAAACCUGCAAGUUAAAGGUGCACAGAUAGAAGCCAAAUUCUAUGAGGAAGUUCACGAUCUUGAAAGGAAGUAUGCUGUUCUCUAUCAGCCUCUAUUUGAUAAGCAAUCUGAGAUUACUAAUACAAUUUAUGAACCUACAGAGGAAGAAUGUGAAUGGAAACCAGAUGAAGAAGAUGAGAUUUCAGAGGAGUUGAAAGAAAAGGCCAAGACUGAAGAUGAAAAAAACGAUGAAGAAAAAGAAGACCCCAAAGGAAUUCCUGAAUUUUGGUUACCUGUUUUUAAGAAUGUUGACUUGCUCAGUGAUAUGCUUCAGAAACAUGAUGAACCUAUUCUGAAGCAUGUGAAAGAUACUAAAGUGAAGUUCUCAGAUGCUGGCCUGCCUAUGAGUUUUGUCUUAGAAUUUCAAUUUGAACCCAGUAAAUAUUUUACAAAUGAAGUGCUGACAAAGACAUAUAGGAUGAGGUUAGAACCAGAACCAGAUGAUUCUGAUCCCUUUUCCUUUGAUGGACAAGAAAUUAUGGGUUGUACAGGGGGCAAGAUAGAUUGGAAAAAAGGAAAGAAUGUCAUUUUGAAAACCAUUAAGCAGCAGCAGAAACACUAGGGACAUGGGACAAUUCGUAUUGUGACUAAAACAGUUUCCAAUGACUCUUUAAUUUUCUUGCCCCUCCUGAAGUUCCUGAGAGUGGAGAUCUGGAUGAUGAUGCUGAAGCUAUCCUUGCUGCAGACUUCAAAAUUGGUCACUUUUUACGUGAGCAUACAAUCCCAAGAUCAGUGUUAUAGUUUACUGGAGAAGCUACUGAAGAUGAUGAUGAUCAGUAUGAUGAAGAAGGUGAAGAAGCAGAUGAGGAAGAGGACAAAGGAGAUGAGGAAAAUGAUCCAGACUAUGACCCGAAGAAGGAUCAAAACCCAGCAGAGUGCAAGCAGCAGUGAAGCAGGAUAUAUGUGGCCUUGAGGAUAACCUGCACUGUCCUAGCCUAAACACAACUCUUACUUACUGCCUUAUGUUUUUGUAUUUUCUUGGUAGACUGGGUAAUUUUUGUUUUAAAGGACAGGAAACUGAUAUUUUAAAGACCAAUCUGUUCUACCUAGCAUUUUCACUAGUUUUUCUGCCAGGUAUGUUGAAUGCACAAAUUCUGUCACACAUGGUCAUUCGCUGCUACAUAAUUUGGUUCUUCGGAAUAUUUUUAUAUAGCUCUUGCAGUACAGCUAUGAAAAUUAACAACUGUUAAAGGAAACACUUUUUUUUUUCCGUAAUUUUUUCCUUGAAGAACCAAAGUAUUUUUUCAGCUGUUUGUUGAAUAGGGUUAAGUCUGCUUGGAUUAGCUGUGCCUUUCAUUACUUUGUUACAGAAAUGCAGGGACUUGUACUAAGACAAUUCAUCGUUUAAAAAAAAAAAAAAAACUGGCAUGCCAGUCGCGGUGGCUCACGCCUGCAAUCCUAGCACUUUGGGAGGCUGAGGCAGGCAGAUCACCUGAGGUCAGGAGUUCAACACCAGCCUGACCAACAUGGUGAAACCCCGUCUCUACUAAAAUACAAAAAUUAGCCAGGCAUGAUGGCGGGUGCCUGUAAUCCCAGCUACUCAGGAGGCUGAGAUGGGAGAAUCACUUGAACCCGGGAGACGGUGGUUGCAGUGAGCUGAGAUCGUGCCACUGCACUCCAACCUGGGUGGCUGAGCAAGACUCGUCUGAAAGAAAAAAAAAUUGGCAAGACAACUAUAUGGUUAAGAAUUUAAAGAACUUCCAGUAUGACCACACCCAAUAACUGUAUUAGAUUGUUAAUGGAUUAUUGUGUUAUAGGUGACAUAGUUAACUGUAAAGUAACGUGACUCAGUAUAGUUACUGGUACCACAGUGAGGUGAAUAAAACAGGAUUUUUCAGAAGUUAGCCUGAAUUUCACUGUACUUUUAAAUUUAACCUCCAUUAACUAAGCAUCUUUUCUUUGUGGUAGGGUCUACCUUCUGCUUCCCUGGAAAGGAUGAACUUACAUCAUUUGACAAGACCUGUUUUCAAGUUAUUUGUUGUUUGUUUGCUUGUUUUUGUAGCCUAAAAUAAAAAUUUCAAAUACAA